UACGGAGGGUGCGAGCGUUGUCCGGAAUCACUGGGCGUAAAGGGCGCGUAGGUGGCGAAGCAAGUCAACGGUGAAAGCUCGACGCUCAACGUCGAGUCGGCCGUCGAUACUGCAUCGCUCGAGCACUGUAGAGGCAGAUGGAAUUCCGGGUGUAGCGGUGGAAUGCGUAGAGAUCCGGAAGAACACCGGUGGCGAAGGCGGUUCUGCUGGGAAUGUCCUGACGCUGAGGAGCGAAAGUCGUGGGGAGCGAACA
rnacentral:rRNA from 1 species